rnacentral:rRNA from 1 species
CGGAUUGUAGGCUGAAACUCGCCUACAUGAAGCUGGAGUUACUAGUAAUCGCAGAUCAGAAUGCUGCGGUGAAUGCGUUCCCGGGUCUUGUACACACCGCCCGUCACACCACGGAAGGUUGGGGGCGCCCGAAGCCACUUAGCUAACCCUUUUGGGAAGCGAGUGUCGAAGGUGAAAUCAAUAACUGGGGUGAAGUCGUAACAAGGUACC